UACCUCCUGUUAGACCUGUGCCUAGCUAACCACAUGUGUUUGGCCGUCUGCCGUCUCUUCAUGUUGGCCUCUGUGCACUAUUAUUAUUUUAUUUGGACUUCAGUGACAAGAAUAUGGCAUUUAUGAUCAUGUUCUUUUGUGCCUUCGUGGCCUUGUUGCUUUUUUCACAUUAGUGUUACAUGUUAAAUGAUCUCACCCCUACUGUUUAUACGUUAAGCACACAUGCUUCAAGUGUGUGCUGCCUUUGUCUACAUUGCCUGGACCGUUCUUGGCUCUGGCCUUUCUCAGCUGUCUUUAACAUGGACAAUCACAAGUCAUCCUCCACGAGGACUAGUGCAUUCUUAAGCUAUGCUGCUUCAGGGCCAGUGACUUGCUGAGCUUUGUGUUCAUGCUGGCCAUGUGUGCCACCUGUGGCGAGUUCUGUUGCCACUGCAGAAUGAAGCUAGCCUACCUGGUAUUGGCCAUCAGCCCAAACUGAUUGUUUCAAGGCCCUGGGGCCACCAGCCAAGGUUCCACCAUCUAUUGGAUCUCUGGCUUUGGCCAGGGGCAUAUGCUGCCCUACUGGAUAUGUGGAAAAGCACUUGACUGCUGGGCAUGGAUGAGGUUAAGGGUGAGAAGCAUAAUGCCAUGAGUUCUAUACCACUAUGGGUCUCUUCCUGCCUCUGGGCCCUUCUGAUGAACCUUCAUCAAGGUCUCACUUGUGCCCCAUCACUGUCAGGCCACUGAGAUUGCUUUUGGCCCCAGUUGGCUUCCCGGUCAAUGAGGACCUCAAGAACUGCCUGUGGACCAAGGCCCCCUGCCAGUGCAUGAGACACACACCUACUUUCCCCAAUCUUCCAGGAACCCUCCUGCCUGCCAGACUGAUGGGCGGGUAUGUGGACAUGUGCUCACUGUCAUCAUGCUGUGGCUCCAGACAUGCACAGAAGUGGAGAGGAUGGUCCCUGGACCCUGGGUACCCAUCACCUAGCUACACCAAUUAUGAUCAACCUGGUGCCUUCCUCUCCCCACCUGUAUUGUUGAUGGAAAGUCCGACACUGUACCAAUUCAACCUUGACUACUUUGGGAGAUCAGGACUCUUGUGGUGGUGGUGGUGGUGGGGCACACUGUCAUGAUCACAUCAGGUCUGCUCUUUGUUUUGAGUGUUAAAUGAUGAUGUUCUAGAAAUGGCCUUUAGAAGUGAAAGUCUUCACGAUUAACAGGGAGUACUCAAAAAGAGAUGAAAAUAUGCUCCCUCUUCCCUGCAUCUGCAAAAGGAGAGAGACUUGUGUUGUAAAUCUUUCAAAGACUGAUAUGAUAAGGUGCUUACUUGAGACCCUUCACCAGAAUAUCAGUCUUUUUUGCCUGUAAAAGAUGGAGACUUGUGUGACUGUUAGAAGUACCAUCAGCGUGUCCUGGUCUCAUAAUAUAACUCUGGUCUUGAAAGUGAAUUUUGGAAAUUGUUGCUGUGUUCUGUAAAAAUAACCUCCCCAACGUUAUCAGUAACUGGUUGUCUUACUUGCUAAUUUGACACCCCGGUAAUAAUGCAAUUAUUCCUUUGUUCCUAAACAGUAUAAAUAGUUGUAAGUUUGCAUGCGUGGUGGAAAAAUAAAAGUCUUAUCUCUGUUAUAUAUUUUUUAUUUUUAAA
ensembl:lncRNA